rnacentral:pre_miRNA from 1 species
ACAACAUUUGGAACGUCGGUCUACCGAGCAAUAUCACCUGCUCGGUGAAAGAUCCCUUCCUCAA